rnacentral:rRNA from 1 species
CCUACGGGUGGCAGCAGUGAGGAAUAUUGGUCAAUGGACGAGAGUCUGAACCAGCCAAGUAGCGUGAAGGAUGACUGCCCUAUGGGUUGUAAACUUCUUUUAUAAAGGAAUAAAACGAGGCACGUGUGCCUUUUUGCAUGUACUUUAUGAAUAAGGAUCGGCUAACUCCGUGCCAGCAGCCGCGGUAAUACGGAGGAUCCGAGCGUUAUCCGGAUUUAUUGGGUUUAAAGGGAGCGUAGAUGGGUUGUUAAGUCAGUUGUGAAAGUUUGCGGCUCAACCGUAGAAUUGCAAUUGAUACUGGCAGUCGUGAGUACAGUUGAGGUAGGCGGAAUUCGUGGUGUAGCGGUGAAAUGCUUAGAUAUCACGAAGAACCCCGAUUGCGAAGGCAGCUUACUAAGCUGUGACUGACAUUGAUGCUCGAAAGUGUGGGUAUCAAACAGGAUUAGAUACCCUGGUAGUC